rnacentral:lncRNA from 1 species
CAUGUCACUCAAACCAGCUGUAUUAAGGAAGGUGCAAGCUUUUGGGAUUUCUGUUUGGAUUUAGUUUAGGUUCAAAAGAGCACGCACAGAUCCUGAGUGUUGUCAAGCACCCGUGACUGGGAAACGGAGGCGUCCGAUCCGUAUUGGAGUCAAUUCGCCACUUAAUUGAACACAGCCUCGAAGGGAAGGGCCAUAUUUGUGGGCCUGUCUAACAAUUAAGAGUGACCACAUGGAAUGGGGGAUGAAAGGGUUAAAGAAGAACAAAUAUUGAACACAGCUUUUCUAUGAACAAACUGCAGGCAGCUGCUGCUUUGCAAGGGGAACUUCUUGGCUGCCAUUUCUGGAUGUCAAGGCUGCAGAUACACUGGUCAGGACCCUGGGUAGAGAGAGAUGCGUCAGAAUGCGGCUCCUUUCAGAAAGGCUUCUCCGGAGGUCAGCACUCGGGCAAAAGGCUGUGUGUGAUGUGUUUGGGAACACAAAGAAAAACCCUUUGAAAAGAUUCAGCACGUUGCCAUGGAGAACAUCCCACUGAAGGAAUGUAUAGAAGUAGCAGGGUUAACUGAGUGCCUUCCAUCUUCCCUCCAAGGGAUCUGCAAUGAGAUGGGAGAAGGCAACAGGCUGUGUGGGAACCACUGAAGCUGGGAUGGCAGGGAAAGAACAUCUUAGGCUAACUCUUCAAGCCUUGCUGUCACAUUUGCUUUUGAGUCUAUGGUUCCUUAUUAUUUUGGAAGGGUCUGAGAACCCACAGGGCACCCUGGGUCAUGACUCAUGUGACUGAGGAAGCACACAGAUCUGUGGAUCUCCAAGUCUAGAUGACAGCAAGCUAACAGGACACUGUUUAUGACAUAUAUAGCCCCCCCCCAACCCCUGCAGAUUUCAAAUAGGUUCUGACAAAGCUUUGUGGUAUCUGAAGGGUAGAUAGAGAAAAUAAGUGUAUCAUUUUGGUUUCUGUUUCUGCAUUACAGGUGUCAGCUGCCUACCAGUUGCUUUCAUCUCUAGAAAUCUGUGACUUGCAGUAUGACAAGAACAAAAGACUAUUGAAGUGGACACCAAGGGAAUGGAAAAGGAAAAGAAUGAAGCUCUGGUGUCAUCUGGUGACAAUACAAAGGACAAAGGGCAAGGAAUACAGACGGAGAAGCCGCUUAGAGUCUAGGAUGGCAGAGGUUCUCUUGAUCAUUUCAUUUUUGAGCGCUUGUAGAGCUUUGGUGUACCAGAGGUGCUUGAACAGCUUACCACACCACAGAUGAAUGGCCUUUGGAUUUCUCCUAAGAAAAUGUGGCUACCUGAAAUUCAACUCCAUUUUCUGGUCUUCAAUAUUUCUUUUGUGUUCAGUUUGCCAGCUGAGGAGAAGUGGCUAAGCAUAGCCUGUUACUGAUGCUAAAGCCCAAGUUCUGAACCUAACAACUCCAGCAACAUGAUCCUGUUUCAAGAGACAAAAAAGUGACUAAUGAAAGAAAACAAUUGAUGUGCUAUGUAGAGUUUAAAAGAAGGUAAAGAGAAUAAAUUAAAAGCAACAACUCUCUUCUUGA